rnacentral:rRNA from 1 species
GUACACGCUGUGACUAGCAUAUCAAUAAGCGGAGGAAAAGAAACUAACAAGGAUUCCCCUAGUAACGGCGAGUGAAGCGGGAAGAGCUCAAAUUUGAAAUCUUAAAGGGUUUCCCUUUACGAAUUGUAGUUUAAAGAAGUGUUUUCUGUUGAGGUUUUGGUAAAAGUUCUUUGGAAUAGGACAUCAUAGAGGGUGAGAAUCCCGUAUUUGACCUUUACUUUCAACUUUGUGAUACACUUUCAAAGAGUCGGAUUGUUUGGGAAUGCAGUCCAAAAUGGGUGGUAAAUUUCAUCUAAAGCUAAAUAUUGGCGAGAGACCGAUAGCGAACAAGUACCGUGAGGGAAAGAUGAAAAGAACUUUGAAAAGAGAGUUAAACAGUACGUGAAAUUGUCAAAAGGGAAGCGUUUGACACCAGUGUUGUUUUUCUGAAAAUCAAUUAAAGAACUGUUUAUGCUAAGUUGUUUAGACUUUAUCAGCUAUCUGCUUAGUUUUGAGCUUUUCUUUAAUGCACUUUUCAGUUAACAAGUCAACAUCAAUUUCUUUUGCUGUAAAAAAGCUUGAGGAAGGUGGCUUGAGAUUCGUCUUAAGUGUUUAUAGCCUCUUGCCUAUGCAGUCGGAGAGAUUGAGGUCUGCAGCGUAGAUCCUUCGGGGCUAAAUGCAUUUGUGCUAAGUUAUAACAUUUUAUAGACAACUUGUUGACUAUGAUUUGUCUUGUAGCUUACUCGCUUAUGUUAUUUUACCUACGCUUAGGAUGUUGAAUCUGUGCGAGACUAC